ensembl:snRNA U6 U6 spliceosomal RNA
GGAGUCAGAUGGCAGCAUUACUUAUACUCUCUGGAAAUGAUACAGAGAAGAUUAGCAUGGCCCCUGCACAAGGUCAAAACGUAUAAUUAAUUUCAUGUUCAA